GGCCAUGUAGUUCAAUGGAUAGAAUAUCGGACUUCGGAUCCGAAGGUUGCAGGUUCGAGUCCUGUCAUGGUCG